rnacentral:rRNA from 1 species
GAUGAACGCUGGCGGCGUGCCUAAUACAUGCAAGUCGAGCGAACAGACGAGGAGCUUGCUCCUCUGACGUUAGCGGCGGACGGGUGAGUAACACGUGGAUAACCUACCUAUAAGACUGGGAUAACUUCGGGAAACCGGAGCUAAUACCGGAUCAUAUAUUGAACCGCAUGGUUCAAUAGUGAAAGACGGUUUUGCUGUCACUUAUAGAUGGAUCCGCGCCGCAUUAGCUAGUUGGUAAGGUAACGGCUUACCAAGGCGACGAUGCGUAGCCGACCUGAGAGGGUGAUCGGCCACACUGGAACUGAGACACGGUCCAGACGCCUAAGGGAGGCAGCAGUAGGGAAUCUUCCGCAAUGGGCGAAAGCCUGACGGAGCAACGCCGAGUGAGUGAUGAAGGUCUUCGGAUCGUAAAACUCUGUUAUUAGGGAAGAACAAAUGUGUAAGUAACUAUGCACGUCUUGACGGUACCGAAUCAGAAAGCCACGGCUAACUACGUG